GACGAACGCUGGCGGCGUGCUUAACACAUGCAAGUCGAACGGUAAGGCCCUUCGGGGUACACGAGUGGCGAACGGGUGAGUAACACGUGGGUGAUCUGCCCUGCACUUCGGGAUAAGCCUGGGAAACUGGGUCUAAUACCGGAUAGGACCACUGCCUGCAUGGGUGGUGGUGGAAAGCUUUUGCGGUGUGGGAUGGGCCCGCGGCCUAUCAGCUUGUUGGUGGGGUGAUGGCCUACCAAGGCGACGACGGGUAGCCGGCCUGGGAGGGUGACCGGCCACAGUGGGAGUGAGUUACGGCCCAGACUCCUACGGGAGGCAGCAGUUGGGAAUAUUGCACAAUGGGCGCAAGCCUAAUGCAGCGACGCCGCGUGAGGGAUGACGGCCUUCGGGUUGGUAACCUCUUUCAGCACCGACGAAGCGCAAGUGACGGUAGGUGCAGAAGAAGGACCGGCCAACUACGUGCCAGCAGCCGCCGCCG
rnacentral:rRNA from 1 species